UACGUAGGUGGCAAGCGUUAUCCGGAAUUAUUGGGCGUAAAGAGCGCGCAGGUGGUUGAUUAAGUCUGAUGUGAAAGCCCACGGCUUAACCGUGGAGGGUCAUUGGAAACUGGGGAACUUGAGUGCAGAAGAGGGAAGUGGAAUUCCAUGUGUAGCGGUGAAAUGCGUAGAGAUAUGGAGGAACACCAGUGGCGAAGGCGGCUUCCUGGUCUGUAACUGACACUGAGGCGCGAAAGCGUGGGGAGCAAACAGGAUUAGAUACCCU
rnacentral:rRNA from 1 species